UGGGUAAAUUACACUUUUCGUUCUUUAUUUUUGUAUUGGAUUGCAAUGGAUGUCCUUUAACUUCAAUAAUUACAGCCACAGACCUUUAUUUGUAAAACUCAUUACACUCUAGUUCCUUUAACACCAACCAAGUUAAAAUUUUAAGUUAAGUUUAGUCAUGUGCGUUCCACAUGAUGGUAACUUGGUAAUUUUGCUCAUUUAUGAAAAAUAUAUUUAAUAGAUAAACAAAAAAUAUAAAAUUAAAAUGUAUAUAAGUUAACUCUUUCUCUCUAUCCUUCAAUUCUCUGGUCUUUCUUUCUGCUCACUCUCUCUCUCCCAACCUUUUCACCACCACUAGCCAACCAUCACUACCACCCCAACCUCCGCCAUCUUUGCAACCACACCAUUGGAAUAUGUUCUCUCUCACAUAACCCUAACCAUUAAAAUAACCUAAGCGUAAAAUCCAGAUUAGUAAAAUUGCAACGUUUUGGGGCGUUUUUGUGUGGCUGUUGAUUCGUCAUCGGAGUUUCAGAUCUACCUCCACCCUUUCAAAUCCCCAUCUCGCCGUAGAUCCACCGGCACCGGAAUCUUUUUCAUCUUCUUAUGAAACACCUUCCCCAAUACCUACGGCAAUAGUUCUAUCACCCUCCGGUCAACCAAUAACACAUCAAAUGAGUUAAAAAGAUAACCGGCCCGACCAUUACAUGACAACCCACUGGCCCGACCGCCCGGCUCCCGGCCCGACCUCCGGGUCACUGCAGAAACGGGUUAAAGGGCUGAACCGGCCCGGUGGUGUUUUCGAAUCCCGACCGGUCCGACCGGCCGGCCCGGUCCGGUUUUAAAGACGUUGUUUUUUGUUCUUAGCAAGGCAUAUACAAAAAUCAAAUCACAAAUCAAAUCAGCACAUUUUUAACUCCAAAAACCCUACCGGUCUAUAACUAUAAAUAAGUGUGUGGGGGUAUCCCCAAAUCACACACUUCUUUCAUCUUUUAGAUUUUUCAUCUACAUCUGCUUCUUUUUCAUCUACAACAAUGAUGUCUGGUUCUCUCCCACCACCAAGGAAAAACAAGUGGAUGGAGGAGUAUUUGACAAAUCAAGAAAUACUGAUCAUAGGAGAUGGCGACUUCUCUUUUUUGUGGUCAUUGGUGAAGGCAUUUAAGAAUGAUAGCAACAUCUUACGAUGAUUAUGGUAAUCAACACAACUACUUGAUAUUAUUCGUUGUAAACACUAUAUUCUUUUUUUAGAACUUCUUUCUUUCUUUCUUUCUUUUUAUCUAGUCAUCUUCAUCAUUGUUCAUCUUCAUCCCACGUUAAGUUAGUAAAAACCCUAUUUUUUUUUGUUUUUUUUUUUGAAAACUUACGUCACGAACAUCCAUCGUUUUCUUUUGUUUUUCUUGUCUCAUCUUCAUCACAAAACGUCAUCAUCUAUUUAUAUACCUUCGUCCAAUGUUUAAGUUAAUAAAGCAUUAUUAUUUCUUAAAAAAAAAACCUUAUUUUUCUUUUCUUGAAAAGUUAUUGUUAGUUGGUAUACGAUAUAGCUCAAGGGAACCUAUUGAAGUUUAAGUUAAUAAAGCACCUUCCUUUUUUUUUAAACCCUGACGUGUUUUGAAAAGGUCUCAUGUUGUAUAUUGUAAAAUGUACAUUACUUAGUAAAUACAAGAUGGCCAAGGACCACAUCACCAAGCUAAGAGAGUUGGGUGUGAGUGUUCACCAUAAGGUAGAUGAUACAAAGAUGAGCCAAAAUUCCAUCUUUUCAGACCGUACAUUUAAUGUAAUUAUUUACAACUUUCCUCAUGCGGGGUUUAGCAAAGGAAUUGACUCCGAAAAAAUGUUAUAAGAUUGCACAAGCGACUGGUUAAGGGCUUUUUUGAAAAUGCAAUCAAGAUGUUAAGUGGAGAAGGAGAGGUGCAUGUAACCCACAAAGAUAAGGAAUAUACAAAAUGUGGAAUAUUGAAGGUUUGGCUUUUU